UACGUAGGGCGCAAGCGUUGUCCGGAAUUAUUGGGCGUAAAGAGCUCGUAGGCGGCUUGUCACGUCGGGUGUGAAAGCCCGGGGCUUAACCCCGGGUCUGCAUUCGAUACGGGCUGGCUAGAGUGUGGUAGGGGAGAUCGGAAUUCCUGGUGUAGCGGUGAAAUGCGCAGAUAUCAGGAGGAACACCGGUGGCGAAGGCGGGUCUCUGGGCCAUUACUGACGCUGAGGAGCGAAAGCGUGGGGAGCGAACAGG
rnacentral:rRNA from 1 species